UAUUUGAAACUGUGACAAUACGUCAAAUUGUACAUAAAUUAUCGAACAAUAUGGGGCCUAAAACUCGUGAUAAAUAGUAGAAUUGUUACGCCACCUUAUGUGGAAUGAUUUUUGUGCUACACACAAACACAUGUGCAUUUUACCAUAUGCUACAUAUAUUAAACAGUUUGUUGAACAGUUGCAUGCCUUGGUGUUAGUCAUCGAAUUGCCGUUGCAAAUUUUUCGUUGUGUUCUGUCAAAUUAAUUUUUUUCGAAGUCAGCCACCAUCGUUUCAUAUAAUUUUGGAGCAUUAAAACUGUGAUAGACACCUAAGAAGUUUUUAUAACAACUCGAGCAAAAAGCAUUCCAUUAUACCGCUACUUCUCAGUUUCAGCAAAGUGGAGAAAGUGUUCUGCUGACAGCUGUUGUUUUCUUAUCCGAUCGACAGAGAGGUGCCGAUUGGCAUCAAAUAGAAAUGUGGCCUUGUUCGCUCACCCAUCGCUACUGUAGAAAAAUGUGUUGUUCCCAAAUAACAUCUGUUUCCCGAAAAAAGUACCCAGCUUCUCAACCAAUCGCGUGGAUUGGCUGGGACUCGUGUGGAUGGACCCAAGGAAAAGUUGACGACCAACGAAGGAGCCAACUCCAGUGCAUCAUAUUUGCCGUUCAAGUAAUGGUAGCAACGACUGCGAAACAGUGGCCUCCGGUAGGUGCCUCUUAUGAAGGAUCUGGCAAACCAUAUCUGAGAUAUAGACCAACGAAGACGAUCGCACCCAAUGUGAUGGAUUUUACUAAGGUGGCGCAGAUCAUUGAUGCGUGCCACUAGUUCUCUCUUUCAUUCUCCCGCUGUUCUUAUGCAGCGCAAAUAGUGACGUCACAAAAAAUCCAUCACAUUGGAUCGCACCCAGAGCUGUCGAGUGUACGGAGCACAAAGCAUCCAGUGGAAUACCCAGUUAUGUUCAAAUAUCUCCAGCCAGGAAAAAACGGAGCAGAAAUAUACGAUAAAGGAUGAAAACACCGAUGUCAAUGGGUUAUUUUGGUCGUAACCAGGUUGUUUGACGAUUCCACGCGUGGGCAAUAAAAUAUUCAACGGUACGAUACCGGUAUCACUGACUACAAUGACAAUCGAAAGGUGGAUGUUGAAAUCCAUUCAGUUGAACGUUAUGAAAAAAUACUCUAAUGGUGGUAAGCUCCAUCGAAGUUACGACGCCA